rnacentral:rRNA from 1 species
GACGAACGCUGGCGGCGUGCUUAACACAUGCAAGUCGAACGGAAAGGCCCUGCUUUUGUGGGGUGCUCGAGGGGCGAACGGGGGAGUAACACGUGAGUAACCUGCCCUUGACUUUGGGAGAACUUCAGGAAACUGGGGCUAAUACCGGAUAGGAGCUACUGCUGCAUGGUGGGGGUUGGAAAGUUUCGGCGGUUGGGGAUGGACUCGCGGCUUAUCAGCUUGUGGGUGGGGUAGUGGCUUACCAAGGCAUUGACGGGUAGCCGGCCUGAGAGGGUGACCGGCCCCAUUGGGACGGGGAUACGGCCCAGACUCCUACCGGAGGCAGCAGUGGGGAAUAUUGCACAAUGGGCGGAAGCCUGAUGCAGCAACGCCGCGUGCGGGAUGACGGCCAUCGGGUUGUGAACCGCUUUCGCCUGUGACGAAGCGUGAGUGACGGUAAUGGGUAAAGAAGCACCGGCUAACUACGUG